rnacentral:lncRNA from 1 species
AUAAAGGAGAAGCUUUUCAAGUCCAAGAAUGAAAUAGAGUUCUCAAACAUACAAAAACUGUUUGGCUUGCCUAUGAAUACAGUAAAGGUGCCAGAACACGCUUCCAGUUUAAGAGGAUCACUCUUAAUAAGAAUCUGAGACUGUUGUUCCCUCCUUCAUCAGCAGAAACACACAAUCAACAAGAAAUAUGAGAAGAAACAAUAUUGUUAGCACAUUGGAAGAUAAUGGCAGGAGGUCCAUGGGAGCCUGGGACCAGUCAUCAUGCCAAAGCUGAGGAAACAUGAGCAAGAAGGCAAGAAGACAAGCCUUGGGAACGAAGGAAGCCACGUGGUGCUGCAGCCAGAGGCUGCAGGGAUUUUCUCAGGGCCUCGUUGCUCACCCCAAGGCUUGUCCCAAGGCUCAGCAGGCUUGCUAAAAUAGCCUUAGGCAACAGUGGGGCCUGGGGAUGGGGAAAGGCCUCUUCCUCUUCAUUACCCCUCUCCAUCGCUCUUCCCACUCCCUGGAGCUCUUGCCUUCUCAAGUAUUCCCUGGUCAUCACCCCUGUGGUCUCUCCUUCCAAGAAAUCUUUAAGCCCUUCCAAGAAUCCAAGCCCCUGAUUCAUUCCACUCCAACCCC